rnacentral:rRNA from 1 species
UACGUAGGAUGCAAGCGUUGUCCGGAAUUAUUGGGCGUAAAGGGUGCGCAGGCGGUUUUUCAAGUCAGAUGUGAAAUAUCCCGGCUUAACUGGGAGGGGCCAUUUGAAACUGAAAGGCUAGAGUGCAGGAGAGGAUAGCGGAAUUCCCGGUGUAGUGGUGAAAUGCGUAGAUAUCGGGAGGAACACCAGUGGCGAAGGCGGCUAUCUGGCCUGCAACUGACGCUGAGGCACGAAGGCUAGGGGAGCGAACAGG